rnacentral:pre_miRNA from 1 species
UCUGAGCACUAGCAGCUGAUUGUCCAAACGCAAUUCUUGUGAAAAUCCAAAGCCUACCCGAGAAUUGUGCCUGGACAUCUGUUGCUGGACGCUCC